rnacentral:rRNA from 1 species
AUACGGAGGAUGCGAGCGUUAUCCGGAUUUAUUGGGUUUAAAGGGAGCGUAGGUGGGAUAUUAAGUCAGCUGUGAAAGUUUGGGGCUCAACCUUAAAAUUGCAGUUGAUACUGGUUUCCUUGAGUACGGUAUAGGUGGGCGGAAUUCGUGGUGUAGCGGUGAAAUGCUUAGAUAUCACGAAGAACUCCGAUCGCGAAGGCAGCUCACCGGGCCGGAACUGACACUGAUGCUCGAAAGUGCGGGUAUCAAACAGGAUUAGAUACCCUGGUAGUCCGCACAGUAAACGAUGAAUACUCGCUGUUUGCGAUACACUGUAAGCGGCCAAGCGAAGGCGUUAAGUAUUCCACCUGGGGAGUACGCCGGCAACGGUGAAACUCAAAUGAAUUGGCGGGG